AAACAAGAAGAAACACUCGGUUUGGGUCUAAAUUCAUUCAGUCUGGUUCAGUACAGUAAAGGUUUAUUAAAAUCCUCCCAUAUAUGUGGCCCUGACUGAAUUAAGCAGUAGCCUAAGUGCCUAAUGCCUGGUUCAUGCUCAACCCCAUAACCACCAACUGGCGCGGAUCAGACCCCCGCCCAACCCCGACAACCGGGUCUUCCUCCCUGGGGCCACGCCCCCUUUCCAUGUGACUUCGUGGCUCCUCCCAUCAAGCGGUGGGGUCUAUUUUUCCACCACUGAGACGUAGGCUGGUUUUGCAAGCUUGGCUGAUGGAAUGCAGCAACUGUAGGGGGAGGGGGCGGUGGGGGAGAUGCCUUGCAGCUUCCUCUUCAAUUCUUGGGACGCUCCUGCUGCCACGUGAGCAAGUCUGCACGAGACUCCCAAGCGACACGGGACCCAGUGGAGCGAGACCCCCGCUGACAGCCAACACCGAGGCCCCAGCCGCUGAGGAGGCCAUCUGGGACCCUCCAGCUGCCAGAGAACUAUAGCACGUGGGAAAGCCCAGGUGACACCUGGAGAAGAAUCCCCCCUCUGAACGCAGCCGACCCCUGGAACUAUGAGAAAUAAUUUUCCAUAUUAUUUUUCUACCGCAUUUAUUUGUUGACUUGCACGGUGUGGCCACAGCAAACUACCCAAUGUCAUAAAUAUGCACAAGGCAGCCACAAUCAUAUUGAAGGAAUUUAAGAAACGAAAUAAAAAAUAAAAAAUGUGACUUCUUAGACAUCAAUGCAUCGCAGACACGGCACAAUUCCGAACGAAUUGCUUCAGCUGAAUUUAGACACUCAAUUGGGCACUCAAUUAUCCUGAAGCUUUAUUGAUGCCCUAUUAGAAGUGGCCCCACCCCUUAGAAUCAAAUGGAAGGGAGGCAGGUAUCAUUCCACCCACCGUGCACAGCCCCUCCCCUCCUGUGUACAAGCACGUUCCCCCUGACAGCCUCCCAAAUCUGAAUUUUAAAUGUGCAUUUUCUUCCAGGACUCCAAGCACACAACCACUCUGUGGCCCUGCUCUAAGGAUGUCAACCUUCAGCGGCCUCGAACCCUCAGACCUUGCAGGGGUCACCCUUGAGCUGCUCUGUUAAGUGGCUGCAGGUGGGGUCCGACUGAUGGGAGUCAGGAGGCAUCCACGCCCCCUCCUCGUUAAUAACUCCAGAUCUCAGGGAGCUGGCAGCAGGUCCCUGCCCAGCUCACUGAUGGAGAGAAAAAGAUGUGGCUAUUGGCUUCCUAUCAAGAGCUGAUUCAAGUGAGUUUAAUCAGAAGUUCCUUGGAGGGGUGAGGAUGUCGUGUCUCACACCGGAUUGAACACCUUAUUUUAAAAUGUCUGUAACCUACUUACUGUCUGGCCACCUGCUCAACAGGCUUCACCUUCACAGCCCCACGUACAACAUAAGCAGCAAGGACUGGAGAGCAAUCGGCCGCCUCCGUGAAUCAUUUUUUUUUCCAAACUCAUCACCAUCAGAAACUGAACAGGACUGUCAAAAGUACCCCUGCAUAACCUGCACAACUAGGGAAACAUCAGCCACUGCUCUUUGUCCAGAGGAGCUGUAAACAUCUCAGCCCCUAGAGGCAAUACCAGCUUCUCCUAUCGCCAGCUGCUCAGCCUCUCUGGACUCCACUUCCUCAUCUGUAAAAUGGGACUGUGAUAGGAUUAAGGAAAUAAAGGCUCCGGAAGCACACCACACAGAAGGCCCACAGAGCCUUCAAUAAACGUUAGGUAUCUUCUAUGAAUAUACAAAUAGGAAAAAAAAUGUGU